GAGUUUGAUCGUGGCUCAGAUUGAACGCUGGCGGCAUGCCUUACACAUGCAAGUCGAACGGCAGCAUGAUCUAGCUUGCUAGAUUGAUGGCGAGCGGCGAACGGGUGAGUAAUACAUCGGAACGUGCCCUGUAGUGGGGGAUAACUAGUCGAAAGAUUAGCUAAUACCGCAUACGACCUGAGGGUGAAAGUGGGGGACCGCAAGGCCUCAUGCUAUAGGAGCGGCCGAUGUCUGAUUAGCUAGUUGGUGGGGUAAAGGCCCACCAAGGCGACGAUCAGUAGCUGGUCUGAGAGGACGAUCAGCCACACUGGGACUGAGACACGGCCCAGACUCCUACGGGAGGCAGCAGUGGGGAAUUUUGGACAAUGGGCGAAAGCCUGAUCCAGCAAUGCCGCGUGUGUGAAGAAGGCCUGGUGU
rnacentral:rRNA from 1 species